rnacentral:rRNA from 1 species
AACCUCUGCAAUAGGCGAAAGCCUGACAGGGUUACUCUGAGUGAUUCCCGCUAAGGGAAUCUUUUGGCAUCUCUAAAAAUGGUGCAGAAUAAGGGGUGGGCAAGUCUGGUGUCAGCCGCCGCGGUAAUACCAGCACCCCGAGUGGUCGGGACGAUUAUUGGGCCUAAAGCAUCCGUAGCCGGUUUUGCAAGUCUUCCGUUAAAUCCACCUGCUUAACAGAUGGGCUGCGGAGGAUACUACAAGGCUAGGAGGCGGGAGAGGCAAGCGGUACUCAGUGGGUAGGGGUAAAAUCCUUUGAUCCAUUGAAGACCACCAGUGGCGAAGGCGGCUUGCCAGAACGCGCUCGACGGUGAGGGAUGAAAGCUGGGGGAGCAAACCGGAUUAGAUACCCGGGUAGUCCCAGCUGUAAACGAUGCAGACUCGGUGAUGGGCCGGCUUUAUGCCGGCUCAGUGCCGCAGGGAAGCCGUUAAGUCUGCCGCCUGGGAGUACGUCGCCAUGAAAUUCC